UACGUAGGGCGCAAGCGUUGUCCGGAAUUAUUGGGCGUAAAGAGCUCGUAGGCGGCUUGUCACGUCGGGUGUGAAAGCCCGGGGCUUAACCCCGGGUCUGCAUUCGAUACGGGCUAGCUAGAGUGUGGUAGGGGAGAUCGGAAUUCCUGGUGUAGCGGUGAAAUGCGCAGAUAUCAGGAGGAACACCGGUGGCGAAGGCGGCUCUCUGGGACGGUACUGACGCUGAGACGCGAAAGCGUGGGGAGCGAACAGG
rnacentral:rRNA from 1 species